rnacentral:tRNA from 1 species
GCCUAAGUGGCUCAGUUGGUUGAGCGUCUGACUUCGGCUCAGGUCGUGACCUCCAGGUCUGUGAGUUUGAACCCCACGACAGGCU